rnacentral:rRNA from 1 species
GCAAGUAGAACGCUGAAGAGAGGAGCUUGCUCUUCUUGGAUGAGUUGCGAACGGGUGAGUAACGCGUAGGUAACCUGCCUUGUAGCGGGGGAUAACUAUUGGAAACGAUAGCUAAUACCGCAUAACAAUGGAUGACACAUGUCAUUUAUUUGAAAGGGGCAAUUGCUCCACUACAAGAUGGACCUGCGUUGUAUUAGCUAGUAGGUGAGGUAAUGGCUCACCUAGGCGACGAUACAUAGCCGACCUGAGAGGGUGAUCGGCCACACUGGGACUGAGACACGGCCCAGACUCCUACGGGAGGCAGCAGUAGGGAAUCUUCGGCAAUGGGGGCAACCCUGACCGAGCAACGCCGCGUGAGUGAAGAAGGUUUUCGGAUCGUAAAGCUCUGUUGUAAGUCAAGAACGGGUGUGAGAGUGGAAAGUUCACACUGUGACGGUAGCUUACCAGAAAGGGACGGCUAACUACGUGCCAGCAGCCGCGGUAAUACGUAGGUCCCGAGCGUUGUCCGGAUUUAUUGGGCGUAAAGCGAGCGCAGGCGGUUUGAUAAGUCUGAAGUUAAAGGCUGUGGCUCAACCAUAGUUCGCUUUGGAAACUGUCAAACUUGAGUGCAGAAGGGGAGAGUGGAAUUCCAUGUGUAGCGGUGAAAUGCGUAGAUAUAUGGAGGAACACCGGUGGCGAAAGCGGCUCUCUGGUCUGUAACUGACGCUGAGGCUCGAAAGCGUGGGGAGCGAACAGGAUUAGAUACCCUGGUAGUCCACGCCGUAAACGAUGAGUGCUAGGUGUUGGAUCCUUUCCGGGAUUCAGUGCCGCAGCUAACGCAUUAAGCACUCCGCCUGGGGAGUACGACCGCAAGGUUGAAACUCAAAGGAAUUGACGGGGGCCCGCACAAGCGGUGGAGCAUGUGGUUUAAUUCGAAGCAACGCGAAGAACCUUACCAGGUCUUGACAUCCCGAUGCUAUUUCUAGAGAUAGAAAGUUACUUCGGUACAUCGGUGACAGGUGGUGCAUGGUUGUCGUCAGCUCGUGUCGUGAGAUGUUGGGUUAAGUCCCGCAACGAGCGCAACCCCUAUUGUUAGUUGCCAUCAUUCAGUUGGGCACUCUAGCGAGACUGCCGGUAAUAAACCGGAGGAAGGUGGGGAUGACGUCAAAUCAUCAUGCCCCUUAUGACCUGGGCUACACACGUGCUACAAUGGUUGGUACAACGAGUUGCGAGUCGGUGACGGCGAGCUAAUCUCUUAAAGCCAAUCUCAGUUCGGAUUGUAGGCUGCAACUCGCCUACAUGAAGUCGGAAUCGCUAGUAAUCGCGGAUCAGCACGCCGCGGUGAAUACGUUCCCGGGCCUUGUACACACCGCCCGUCACACCACGAGAGUUUGUAACACCCGAAGUCGGUGAGGUAACCUUUUGGAGCCAGCCGCCUAAGGUGG